rnacentral:rRNA from 1 species
UACGUAGGGGGCUAGCGUUGUCCGGAAUCAUUGGGCGUAAAGAGCGUGUAGGCGGUCCGGUAAGUCGGCUGUGAAAGUCCAGGGCUCAACCCUGGGAUGCCGGUCGAUACUGCCGGACUAGAGUUCGGAAGAGGCGAGUGGAAUCCCGGUGUAGCGGUGAAAUGCGCAGAUAUCGGGAGGAACACCUAUGGCGAAGGCAGCUCGCUGGGACGUUACUGACGCUGAGACGCGAAAGCGUGGGGAGCAA